UCUCCGUAGGUGAACCUGCGGAGGGAUCAUUACAGAGUUCAUGCCCUACCGGGUAGAUCUCCCACCCUAUGUUAUUAUUACUUUGUUGCUUUGGCGGGCCGUUAGGCUCCGGCCCGACUACCGGCCCCGGCUGGUGAGCGCCCGCCAGAGGACCCAAAACCCUGAAUAUUAGUGUCGUCUGAGUACUAUAUAAUAGUUAAAACUUUCAACAACGGAUCUCUUGGUUCUGGCAUCGAUAAAGAACGCAGC
rnacentral:misc_RNA from 1 species